GCCACGACAGGGCCUUACUGCUUGAAUUUGAGGGCUCCGUGCUGCAGAAAGCUUUUUUGGUUUCCUUUUGCCUACUGGAACCACAGGCCUUCAGUUUGUGUAACAUGUCACAAGACAACUUCUGACUUCCUCUUCGUACGUAUUUGCGUGUUCUUUGCUUUUGCUUAAAAGCACCAGAUGAAAAACUUGCUCUUUCCUAUAGGGCUCUACCAGUUCUUGCAGAGCCUGCACUUUGGAUGCUGUGUCUGAACAGAGACUGAGCCAGGCUGUAGCACUACCUUCCAUGCAGCUAUGGCUGCCUCGGGAGAGGCCUGGCUUCGCAGCAGUGGUGGAAGAGAAGGCUAGCAAGCUACAGCAGCAAGAAAUGCAGUAAGAGUUAUGAGUUAAUAAUGGUAAUAAAAAGGAGGAAUGAGAAAGAAGGGAAAUAAGAAGACCUAUCAUCUUGCUGGUUUCCAGCCCUCUUUGGUGGUAACUCCUGUGUUUUAAGGUUUUUAACUUAGGAAAAUGAGGAUAAGAGCAUGUGCUGACUUUUUGAAUUCAAUCAAGAUGGAUUCACUUUGUGUGUGAUGGGAAGUGUGUGCUGCAAGGGGAAAAAACAUGCAAAGAGUUGCAGAGAAUACCUCAGCCAUAGUCAAUACUGUGAAUAAAAUGUUGAAUGAAUUACCACCUCCUGAGAGACUGAUCAGUGGAACGUGAGACCCCAACAGCUGAGAUCCUUGGUAAAACGUCCAUAGGGAUCAGCCUGUAGGAAUCUUCAGGAUAACGAUGAUCAGAGUGGCCACAGGGAUUGUUUGGGAGCUACAUGUUGAUACAUGGAUAUGCCCUCCCAAAAGGCCAAGAGAAGACAAGGAAAGGGCAGGAGUGAGAAUGUUGUUAAAAGGAGAAACAAAAUGAGGUUUUAAAGUGGAGCCUAUUUAAGCUAUUUGUAACAAGCUUUGCAAGUAUGGUUUCCAUGUCAGAACAAGAAAAUACAGCUGAUGUUUAUGGUUAAAUUUCUUCAGCCUGCAGUCAUCAUGAAAAGAUCCAAUAAGAAAGAAGAAUCUAAGGGUUCCUGUGAGUUAGGUUUCUGGACUGAGAGAUGUUGUUGUUCUCACUGCUGAAAUUUUAGUUCCCUGUUACCAGAACAUUGCUCAAGUUUCGAGGCAGUGACGGUGGUUUGUACUAAAGCCCAGUUUGUGCCAGAAAGCAGACCUGCAAAAAACUGUUAAAUUUAUAGGGGAAAAAAGAAAAAGAAAAAAAAAAACCCACAGCUGAUAUUAACUAAGGUGUGAUAUACACUAAAUCACAUGUUGAAACUCACCUUUUUGCAACUUGUUUUAACUAAUUUUAUUUGCCAGUAAGCAUGCCUCUGUUCUUGCACUGGGAGUAUUUCUACCUGAAGAUGUUAUCUCUGCCAUAGUUAAACUCAUCAGCUCAUUGUCUCAUCAAGGAUAAGAUCACAAGGGAUCACUGGGUCAUGCAGUUUAAACAGUACAUCACAG
ensembl:lncRNA